rnacentral:tRNA from 1 species
UGGAUGCCACGUCAAAUUGCAAAUUUGAAGACGCCCCGUUUUGG